UUUAAACUGCUAGCCGCCAGCGGCUUGACCCGCUGUGGUCGCGGCGGCUUAGUUGUUACUGAGACAGCGGUA
rfam:PRRSV HB-1(sh)/2002, complete genome.